ACAACAUAGGAUUCAACAAAGCCUUGGAAUUAUCGACAUGAAUUAAUACCUACCUUUUACAUAAUUCUGUCAGCAGGCUAUAAAUUUUAGUAACCGUUGUGUGAUGAUAUGUGGGCCAUCCCAAAUUUUGAAGAAUAACGCCCGUAUUCUGAAAGCUCACUCACACUCAAUGAGUGGAGGUUCAAUCUGAGCUUUUCUUGAGUGUCAAUGCUCUUAUUGAAUAACUGGAGGGUUAGUGACGUACGUUACUAUGUGACUACUCACCCUCCAGCUAUUCAAAAACAGCACUGAGAUUCAAGAGAAGCUCAGAUUGAACCUCCACUCAUUGAGUGUGAGCGUGAGUGAGCUUUUAGAAUACGGGCGUAAGGAAUUCUAAACAAUCGUUGGCCGAUUGUCUAUAUCUAUAAACCGAACACAAAGACAAUUGCAGUUUUAUUUCCUUUGUAAUUGUAAUUGUGAGUCCUCUAAUUGUAAAACAUAUUGAAUGCUGAGUGUUCUUAGGUAGAGUAGAGAACCUGGCUUGCAAUGUUGAUUCUAUAUUGAAGUGUCAAACUUGAGGAUGGCUAAAUUGCGUGGGUUCGGUGCGUCGUGGGUAGUGCGUCGUCGGUACGUUGUUGGGUGGUCGUAUAGAC